rnacentral:rRNA from 1 species
AUCAUUAACGUUAUACGGGCCUGGCACCCUCUUUGGGUAAGUGGCCUCAUUUAAGAAGGACUUAAAUCAUUAAUUUCUCAUACUAGAAUUUAGACAUUCCAUACACUGCAUCUCACAUUUACCAUAUAGAUAAAGUGACUUAGUGCUGAACUGAUUUCUUUUCGCUCGCCGCUACUAAGA